rnacentral:rRNA from 1 species
AUUGAACGCUGGCGGCAUGCUUUACACAUGCAAGUCGAACGGCAGCACGGGCUUCGUCCUGGUGGCGAGUGGCGAACGGGUGAGUAAUAUAUCGGAACGUACCCAGAAGUGGGGGAUAACGUAGCGAAAGUUACGCUAAUACCGCAUACGAUCUAUGGAUGAAAGCAGGGGACCGCAAGGCCUUGUCCUCCUGGAUCGGCCGUUAUCUGAUUAGCUAGUUGGUGAGGUAAAGGCUCACCAAGGCGACGAUCAGUAGCUGGUCUGAGAGGACGACCAGCCACACUGGAACUGAGACACGGUCCAGACUCCUACGGGAGGCAGCAGUGGGGAAUUUUGGACAAUGGGCGCAAGCCUGAUCCAGCAAUGCCGCGUGAGUGAAGAAGGCCUUCGGGUUGUAAAGCUCUUUUGUCAGGGAAGAAACGGUAGAGGCUAAUAUCCUUUGCUAAUGACGGUACCUGAAGAAUAAGCACCGGCUAACUACGUG